rnacentral:rRNA from 1 species
CAGUCGCCGCGGUAAUACGAAGGUGGCAAGCGUUGUCCGGAAUUAUUGGGCGUAAAGGGCUCGCAGGCGGUUUCUUAAGUCUGAUGUGAAAGCCCCCGGCUCAACCGGGGAGGGUCAUUGGAAACUGGGAAACUUGAGUGCAGAGGAGGAGAGUGGAAUUCCACGUGUAGCGGUGAAAUGCGUAGAGAUGUGGAGGAACACCAGUGGCGAAGGCGACUCUCUGGUCUGUAACUGACGCUGAGGAGCGAAAGCGUGGGGAGCGAACAGGAUUAGAUACCCCUGUAGUCCCUGUCUCUUAUAC